GCCGGUGUAGCUCAGGGGUAGAGUACUUCCUUGGUAAGGAAGGGGUCACGGGUUCAAAUCCCGUCAUUGGCUCCA
rnacentral:tRNA from 1 species